GAGAAAGAGGAGUGUCUGAAUAGCCGAGGAGACUGCCUACAGCCUAACCAACUCAGAGACUAUCGAUAAAGUCUGUGAUAUGGUGUUAAGACGCAGGCAAGUCAUCCUUGGCUACCACACAACUUCUCAUUCU
rfam:Brassica napus, WGS project CCCW01000000 data, contig: 20242